CCUACGGGAGGCAGCAGUGGGGGAUAUUGGACAAUGGGGGAAACCCUGAUCCAGCGACGCCGCGUGAGUGAAGAAGUAUUUCGGUAUGUAAAGCUCUAUCAGCAGGGAAGAAAGAAAUGACGGUACCUGAGUAAGAAGCCCCGGCUAACUACGUGCCAGCAGCCGCGGUAAUACGUAGGGGGCAAGCGUUAUCCGGAUUUACUGGGUGUAAAGGGAGCGUAGACGGCAGCGCAAGUCUGGAGUGAAAUGCCGGGGCCCAACCCCGGAACUGCUCUGGAAACUGUGAAGCUGGAGUGCAGGAGAGGUAAGCGGAAUUCCUGGUGUAGCGGUGAAAUGCGUAGAUAUCAGGAGGAACACCGGCGGCGAAGGCGGCUUACUGGACUGUAACUGACGUUGAGGCUCGAAGGCGUGGGGAGCAAACAGGAUUAGAUACCCGAGUAGUC
rnacentral:rRNA from 1 species